rnacentral:rRNA from 1 species
AUUGAACGCUGGCGGCAGGCCUAACACAUGCAAGUCGAACGAGUGGCGGACGGGUGAGUAAUGUCUGGGAAACUGCCUGAUGGAGGGGGAUAACUACUGGAAACGGUAGCUAAUACCGCAUACCAUCGGAUGUGCCCAGAUGGGAUUAGCUAGUAGGUGGGGUAAAGGCUCACCUAGGCGACGAUCCCUAGCUGGUCUGAGAGGAUGACCAGCCCAACGGGAACGGAGACACGGUCCAGACUCCUACGGGAGGCACAAGUGGGGAAUAUUGCACAAUGGGCGAAAGCCUGAUGCAGCCAUGCCGCGUGUAUGAAGAAGGCCUUCGGGUGGUAAAGUACUUUCAGCGGGGAGGCGGUACCUGCAGAAGAAGCACCGGCUAACUCCGUGCCAGCCGCCGCGGUAAUUC